rnacentral:rRNA from 1 species
GUCGAACGGUGAAGCCCCGCUUGCGGGGUGGAUCAGUGGCGAACGGGUGAGUAACACGUGAGCAACCUGCCCCUGACUCUGGGAUAAGCGCUGGAAACGGCGUCUAAUACUGGAUACGAGACGUGAUCGCAUGGUCAACGUUUGGAAAGAUUUUUCGGUUGGGGAUGGGCUCGCGGCCUAUCAGCUUGUUGGUGAGGUAAUGGCUCACCAAGGCGUCGACGGGUAGCCGGCCUGAGAGGGUGACCGGCCACACUGGGACUGAGACACGGCCCAGACUCCUACGGGAGGCAGCAGUGGGGAAUAUUGCACAAUGGGCGCAAGCCUGAUGCAGCAACGCCGCGUGAGGGAUGACGGCCUUCGGGUUGUAAACCUCUUUUAGCAGGGAAGAAGCGAGAGUGACGGUACCUGCAGAAAAAGCACCGGCUAACUACGUGCCAGCAGCCGCGGUAAUACGUAGGGUGCAAGCGUUAUCCGGAAUUAUUGGGCGUAAAGAGCUCGUAGGCGGUUUGUCGCGUCUGCUGUGAAAUCUGGGGGCUCAACCCCCAGCCUGCAGUGGGUACGGGCAGACUAGAGUGCGGUAGGGGAGAUUGGAAUUCCUGGUGUAGCGGUGGAAUGCGCAGAUAUCAGGAGGAACACCGAUGGCGAAGGCAGAUCUCUGGGCCGUAACUGACGCUGAGGAGCGAAAGGGUGGGGAGCAAACAGGCUUAGAUACCCUGGUAGUCCACCCCGUAAACGUUGGGAACUAGUUGUGGGGUCCAUUCCACGGAUUCCGUGACGCAGCUAACGCAUUAAGUUCCCCGCCUGGGGAGUACGGCCGCA